rnacentral:misc_RNA from 1 species
GAUGAAGAACGUAGCGAAAUGCGAUAAGUAGUGUGAAUUGCAGAAUUCAGUGAAUCAUCGAAUCUUUGAACGCACAUUGCGCCCCUUGGUAUCCCGAGGGGCAUGCCUGUUCGAGCGUCAUUUCACCACUCAAGCCUGGCUUGGUGUUGGGCGACGUCCUCUUUGGGGACGCGCCUCGAAACGCUCGGCGGCGUGGCACCGGCUUUAAGCGUAGCAGAAUCUUUCGCUUUGGAAGUCGGGGCCCCGUCUGCCGGAAGACCUGCUCGCAAGGUUGACCUCGGAUCUGGCAGGGAUACCCGCUGAACUUAAGCAUAUCAAUAAGCGGAGGA